UACGAAGGGGGCUAGCGUUGCUCGGAAUCACUGGGCGUAAAGCGCACGUAGGCGGAUCUUUAAGUCAGGGGUGAAAUCCCGGAGCUCAACUCCGGAACUGCCUUUGAUACUGAGGAUCUCGAGUCCGGGAGAGGUGAGUGGAACUGCGAGUGUAGAGGUGAAAUUCGUAGAUAUUCGCAAGAACACCAGUGGCGAAGGCGGCUCACUGGCCCGGUACUGACGCUGAGGUGCGAAAGCGUGGGGAGCAAACAGG
rnacentral:rRNA from 1 species